GGGGAUGAUCGGUUUCGACGAUGGACGUCGUGCCAGAGGAAGCGGGUCGAGGAUGCAGAGUUAUCUCGUUAACGCCCUCUGCAAACCAAUAGGUGCCGAUUCCAAGCGCACCGACUUCGCCCUCGCCGCCUGAGCGAGUCUCGAAGUCCGUCAGCCCGGGCUAGCUCUCGGCCCGGUUCCUGGCGUCAGCUAGAGAGCCACUGCUCGUAGCCCUCGUCAUCGGGGCUACGGGGACUUCCAGAUGACUGGGCCCGUCAGCGACAUGUCUGCGUGAUCGCUGGGGCCGAGAAAAUCGCAGCAGACUGCACCCGGAGAAGCUCUGGUUCCACGCCAUCGGACGCGGGUUCGAUUCCCGCCAUCUCCACCA
rnacentral:tmRNA from 2 species